ACGCGCUGGAUUUAGGUUCCAGUGCCUUAAACGGCGUGAGAGUUCGAGUCUCUCCUUCCGCACCA
rnacentral:tRNA from 1 species